ensembl:lncRNA
GGGAGAGGUGCUGCUGGCUGACGCCGUGCUGCCGGGUGCUGCACUCGGCAAGGCGUUGCUGCGAGCUGUGGCUUUCUGCGAGAUAAAAGGAAGAGUGAAAAAAGGUGGCUGCAUGUAACUUCAGUUGUGAAAUUGCGACGUUUUGAAGUACCAGAGAAGGAUGAUGUGCCCUGUGACUUGUUGAGAUGCAUAAAAUGAAAUGUGAACAGUGACAUACAACAUAAUACUGUACCAGAAAGGCUAGAGCUAACUCAGGCUGUUGUAGCUACUCUUGGAUUUGUCAGCAAUUUGAAGGAAAGAUUUUCAGGAAAGUGUUUUUCCUCAACAG